GAUGAACGCUGGCGGCGUGCCUAAUACAUGCAAGUCGAGCGAACAGACGAGGAGCUUGCUCCUCUGACGUUAGCGGCGGACGGGUGAGUAACACGUGGAUAACCUACCUAUAAGACUGGGAUAACUUCGGGAAACCGGAGCUAAUACCGGAUAAUAUAUUGAACCGCAUGGUUCAAUAGUGAAAGACGGUUUUGCUGUCACUUAUAGAUGGAUCCGCGCCGCAUUAGCUAGUUGGUAAGGUAACGGCUUACCAAGGCAACGAUGCGUAGCCGACCUGAGAGGGUGAUCGGCCACACUGGAACUGAGACACGGUCCAGACUCCUACAAGAGGCAGCAGUAGGGAAUCUUCCGCAAUGGGCGAAAGCCUGACGGAGCAACGCCGCGUGAGUGAUGAAGGUCUUCGGAUCGUAAAACUCUGUUAUUAGGGAAGAACAAAUGUGUAAGUAACUAUGCACGUCUUGACGGUACCUAAUCAGAAAGCCACGGCUAACUACGUG
rnacentral:rRNA from 1 species